UACGUAGGGACCGAGCGUUGUCCGGAUUCAUUGGGCGUAAAGAGCUCGUAGGCGGCCGCUCAAGUCGAACGUGAAAACUCGGAGCUCAACUCCGAGCCCGCGUCGAUACUGGGUGGCUAGAGUCUGGUAGGGGGAUCUGGAAUUCCUGGUGUAGCGGUGGAAUGCGCAGAUAUCAGGAGGAACACCGGUGGCGAAGGCGGUUAGCUGGGCAGUUGCUGACACUGAGGCGCGACAGCGUGGGGAGCAAACAGG
rnacentral:rRNA from 1 species